CCCUUAGAUGUCCUGGGCCGCACGCGCGCUACACUGAUGCAUUCAACGAGUAAUUAUUCCUUGGCCGAGAGGCCUGGGUAAUCUUUUAAACGUGCAUCGUGAUAGGGAUAGAUUAUUGCAAUUAUUAAUCUUGAACGAGGAAUUCCCAGUAAGCGCGAGUCAUAAGCUCGCGUUGAUUACGUCCCUGCCCUUUGUACACACCGCCCGUCGCUACUACCGAUUGAACGGUUUAGUGAGGGCCUCGGAUUGGUCUCGGCCCGCUCUUUACCGGGCGGCGCCGUUGGUCGAGAAGACGCUCGAACUUGAUCGUUUAGAGGAAGUAAAAGUCGUAACA
rnacentral:rRNA from 1 species